AGCGAACGCUGGCGGUAGGCCUAACACAUGCAAGUCGAACGGCAGCACAGUAAGAGCUUGCUCUUACGGGUGGCGAGUGGCGGACGGGUGAGGAAUACAUCGGAAUCUACUCUUUCGUGGGGGAUAACGUAGGGAAACUUACGCUAAUACAGCAUACGACCUACGGGUGAAAGCAGGGGAUCUUCGGACCUUGCGCGAUUGAAUGAGCCGAUGUCGGAUUAGCUAGUUGGCGGGGUAAAGGCCCACCAAGGCGACGAUCCGUUGCUGGUCUGAGAGGAUGGUCGGCCGCACUGGAACUGAGACACGGUCCAGACUCCUACGAGAGGCAGCAGUGGGGAAUAUUGGACAGUGGGCGCAAGCCUGAUCCAGCCAUACCGCGUGGGUGAAGAAGGCCUUCGGGUUGUAAAGCCCUUUUGUUGGGAAAGAAAAGCAGCGGGUUAAUACCCCGCUGUUCUGACGGUACCCAAAGAAUAAGCACCGGCUAACUUCGUG
rnacentral:rRNA from 1 species